rnacentral:rRNA from 1 species
GACUAGGGCAUAAUUACUCUAAAGGCACCAGAUCCACCUGGUCUUGGGAGCUAAGCAGGAUCAGCCCUGCUUAGUACUUAGAUGAGAUAUCACCAAUGAAUAACAGGUGCUGUGGACU